GAGCUGGAGGGUGGUGGUAGAAUCUCGGCCCCACCCGGAACCGCGUGGUUGCUACAAGAUUUGGGCCAGAAAGGCAGCUUGACACAGAUGUCGGGGAGCUCAGCUUUGUCAUCCACAACACAAGUUACUAGAUUUCGCUGGGGAGUGGAGCAAACAAAGCCUAAUGACAACACGAAAGGAACAUUGUAUGUUUGUAAAAUAUGCCUUGUGCAGUGAUCCGGGGGAGGGUCUUUAAGGAAUACCGUUGUUGUAGCCAGGUGUAUGGCCCCCGCCAAGGAAAUUCCACGCCCUAAUUUCUGGGACUGUCAAUAUGCUAUGGUGCCCCGAACAUGUUACUUUAAUGGGGCAAAAGGGACUUUGCAGAUGUAAUCAGUUGAACUUCAAAUAGGGAGAUUAUCCUGGAUUAUCUGGGUGGGCCCAAUAUAUUAUGUUGUUGUGUUAUACUGGCCCACCCAGAUAAGGCAGAGGCAGAAGAGGAAAUCAGAGAAAUUCAAAACGCAAGAAGGCUUGCAUGUGCCACUGCUAGCUUGAGAAUGGCAGAGUCCACACGAGAAGGAACACAGUGCACAGAAUUGAAUUCUGCCAAGAAUUGCCAUGAGCCUAGAAGUAGCUUCUCCCCAGAGCCUUCAGAUCAAAGCCCAGCACAGUCAACACCUUGAUUUCAGCCUGGGAGACCCUCAGCCACCUAUCCAGCCCAGCUGUCUGGACUUCUAACCUACAGAAUUAUAAAUGAGUGUUGUUUGAAGCCACUAAACCUGUGGUAAUUUGUUACAGAGCAAGAGGAAAUGAACAUGUCCCCCUGGGCUGCAGUUCUGGCUUGUUGCCUACUGGCAGGGGCCCUUUCUACAAGAGGAUCCACUUCUCACAGAUUCCAGCGUAUGACCUUUCUCCCUCUCUUGGCUGUGGCCCAGGCUGGAGUGCAGUGGCAUGAUCUCGACUUACUGCAACGUCCGCCUCCCAGGUUCAAGCGAUUCUCCUGCCUCAGCCUCCCGAGUAGCUGGGACUACAGGCACAUGCCA
rnacentral:lncRNA from 1 species